rnacentral:rRNA from 1 species
UACGGAGGGGGCUAGCGUUGUUCGGAAUUACUGGGCGUAAAGCGCACGUAGGCGGCUUUGUAAGUUAGAGGUGAAAGCCCAGGGUUCAACCCUGGAAUUGCCUUUAAGACUGCAUCGCUAGAAUUGUGGAGAGGUAAGUGGAAUUCCGAGUGUAGAGGUGAAAUUCGUAGAUAUUCGGAAGAACACCAGUGGCGAAGGCGACUUACUGGACACAUAUUGACGCUGAGGUGCGAAAGCGUGGGGAGCAAACAGG